CAGAUUCCCUCUUAGUUAGCUGGUGCGCAAGCAACCUCGCGGACGGGGUCGCCCUUGUUCGUGAAACACAUCAAUCAGGGAAAGCUCUUAAGAUGCUUGAUUCGUGGGUACAUCUCUCCAACAAGCUAAAGGAGGAAGUAACUGCUGGAGUCGCUUGAAUUUCAAUCGUAUGAUUUUAAAGAAGAAUCAAAAGACGGCUAGUUGGAGAUCGGUAUGCCUAUAAAAGCAAUCAGAUU